CCUACGGGCGGCAGCAGUCGAGAAUCAUUCACAAUGGGGGAAACCCUGAUGGUGCGACGCCGCGUGGGGGAAUGAAGGUCUUCGGAUUGUAAACUCCUGUCAUGUGGGAGCAAAUUAAAAAGAUAGUACCACAAGUGGAAGAGACUGCUAACUCUGUGCCAGCAGCCGCGGUAAUACCGAGGUCGCAAGCGUUGUUCGGAUUCACUGGGCGUAAAGCGUGCGUAGGCUGUUUCGUAAGUCGGGUGUGAAAGGCGCGGGCUCAACCCGCGGACGGCACAUGAUACUGCGAGACUAGAGUAAAGGAGAGGGAACCGGAAUUCGCGGUGUAGCAGUGAAAUGCGUAGAUAUCGAGAGGAACACUCGUGGCGAAGGCGGGUUCCUGGACAUUAACUGACGCUGAGGCACGAAAGCCAGGGGAGCGAAAGGGAUUAGAUACCCCUGUAGUC
rnacentral:rRNA from 1 species